rnacentral:rRNA from 1 species
AUUGAACGCUGGCGGCAUGCUUUACACAUGCAAGUCGAACGGUAACAGGGUGCUUGCACCGCUGACGAGUGGCGAACGGGUGAGUAAUGCGUCGGAACGCACCGAGUAAUGGGGGAUAACGCAGCGAAAGCUGUGCUAAUACCGCAUACGCUCUGAGGAGGAAAGCGGGGGACCUUCGGGCCUCGCGUUAUUCGAGCGGCCGACGUCUGAUUAGCUAGUAGGUGAGGUAAGAGCUCACCUAGGCGACGAUCAGUAGCGGGUCUGAGAGGAUGAACCGCCACACUGGGACUGAGACACGGCCCAGACUCCUACGGGAGGCAGCAGUGGGGAAUUUUGGACAAUGGGCGCAAGCCUGAUCCAGCCAUGCCGCGUGUCUGAAGAAGGCCUUCGGGUUGUAAAGGACUUUUGUCAGGGAGGAAAUCCUUAGCGCUAAUACCGUUGAGGGAUGACAGUACCUGAAGAAUAAGCACCGGCUAACUACGUGCCAGCAGCCGCGGUAACAC